GAUGAACGCUGGCGGCGUGCUUAACACAUGCAAGUCGAACGGGAAUUCUUUUAUUGAAACUUCGGUCGAUUUAAUUUAAUUCUAGUGGCGGACGGGUGAGUAACGCGUGGGUAACCUGCCUUAUACAGGGGGAUAACAGUCAGAAAUGGCUGCUAAUACCGCAUAAGCGCACAGAGCUGCAUGGCUCAGUGUGAAAAACUCCGGUGGUAUAAGAUGGACCCGCGUUGGAUUAGCUGGUUGGUGGGGUAACGGCCCACCAAGGCGACGAUCCAUAGCCGGCCUGAGAGGGUGAACGGCCACAUUGGGACUGAGACACGGCCCAGACUCCUACGGGAGGCAGCAGCGGGGAAUAUUGCACAAUGGGGGAAACCCUGAUGCAGCGACGCCGCGUGAAGGAAGAAGUAUCUCGGUAUGUAAACUUCUAUCAGCAGGGAAGAUAGUGACGGUACCUGACUAAGAAGCCCCGGCUAACUACGUG
rnacentral:rRNA from 1 species